rnacentral:rRNA from 1 species
UACAGAGGGAGCGAGCGUUGUUCGGAAUUACUGGGCGUAAAGGGCGCGUAGGCGGCCUAACAAGUCUCGUGUGAAAUCCCUCGGCUUAACUGAGGAACUGCACGGGAAACUGCUUGGCUUGAGUUCGGGAGAGGGAAGCGGAAUUCCGGGUGUAGCGGUGAAAUGCGCAGAUAUCCGGAGGAACACCAGUGGCGAAGGCGGCUUCCUGGACCGACACUGACGCUGAGGCGCGAAAGCUAGGGGAGCAAACGGG